rnacentral:rRNA from 1 species
UACGGAGGGUGCGAGCGUUGUCCGGAAUCAUUGGGCGUAAAGGGCGCGUAGGUGGCGGGACAAGCGUGCGGUGAAAGCCUGGGGCCCAACCCCGGGUCGGCCGUGCGAACUGUUUUGCUUGAGCACUGUAGAGGCAGGCGGAAUUCCGGGUGUAGCGGUGGAAUGCGUAGAGAUCCGGAAGAACACCGGUGGCGAAGGCGGCCUGCUGGGCAGUAGCUGACACUGAGGCGCGACAGCGUGGGGAGCAAACAGG